rnacentral:rRNA from 1 species
UACGAAGGGGGGCUAGCGUUGUUCGGAAUCACUGGGCGUAAAGCGCACGUAGGCGGAUCUUUAAGUCAGAGGUGAAAUCCCAAGGCUCAACCUUGGAACUGCCUUUGAUACUGAUUGUCUUGAGUAUGGGAGAGGUAUGCGGAACUCCGAGUGUAGAGGUGAAAUUCGUAGAUAUUCGGAAGAACACCAGUGGCGAAAGGCGGCAUACUGGCCCAUUACUGACGCUGAAGCUCGAAAGCGUGGGAGCAAACAGGG